GGGGGUGUAGCUCAGUGGUACAGUGCUUGCAUAGCAUGUGUGAGGCCCUGGGUUAGAUCCCCAGCACCACCA
rnacentral:tRNA from 1 species